ACCAUGGAAACAAAGACGGGAGAGUUGUGGGUGCUCCCCUGCUCGCUUGCCUCUUCCUCAUGUUCGUUCGGAUUUUCGCUAAGGGCCACCGGCCGCCAUUGGUUUUCACGACCCAAGCUACGACAGACUCCCCUAGCUGCCGGUCCACCAAAUCGAGCAGGUUGAAGAUCUGGCUUUGAUUGCACCUGGCUCUGCUGGAGAAUGGAAAUAUUCAUCUCCACUGAAUGCAUGCUGCUUAAGUGCUGGAGGCACUUGCAGGAGAGUAACUCUCAUUGGAAACUUCAUUACAAUACUUUCUCUUCCCUACAUGAAGUAGUAAUUCUCAUUCACCAAAGAUAGAAUUUUGCCUGACACAGCCACAGGAGCUCCUGUUUGACUUUCAAAAUUAAUCAACCUCUAAGCUGGAGUAGAAAUGGCAUGUCCUUUAACCUUAAGCACAAAAAGCUCUCAACAGACUGCAGUUUUUAUAUCCCUGGAUGAGAGUUUGGGCCCCUAAUACUUAAACUUGAUGCACAUACUGGGUUUCUGGCAUGCUUUUGCCCAUACCCAUCUGCUAGCCUGGCACCGGGCCCAUUCAGAAGGUGUGAUGCCAGUUUCAAUAGGGCAUAGGUGCCAAUCAAAGAUGGGUUUGGAGGGGCAGCAUGCAGAACGCAGCAAAAGUCAGCUCUUCUGCCAGAAGAUCCUCCUGUUAUCAUAUAAUGCCAAUGAAGGGCCACAUGCUUCAUUGCUUGGGAUCACACUGCAUCUGUAGAUGUUUCUGGCCUUCAAUGGAUGUCUUUCCACAGAAUCAUUUUCCUCAAGUAUUACUUGAUUGGAGACGUUAAAGAAAAGUCUACCUGACUGAAGUUCAUCCUUUUAAAAGGAACGGUGGAAGCAUUCAACAAUUGUCUUGACAUACUUACUGAGUUUUCUGCCUUUUCUCCUACAAUACUCUUCCGUGUAGAAUACGGUAUAGUGUAUAAAGUCCACGCAUUGGACUUUUAAGGGACAAACAUUCUGAAGAAGCACUAAUUGCAAAACCAAGUAUGUGAGCAGUAUAAGAUCCAUAAACCCCUCUGUACCAUUAAAUGUGAAUGGUGGACAAGUUUUCAUCCUCCAAAAAACUAUUUUCAAGUGAAUUCUCAUAUUUAGAGCUUCAGAGUUUAAUUUUCCUCUCCUUUAUUUCAUAAACAUGGAUAUUCCUGUGUCUGAAAAGAAAGACCAUACCUACUCUUUAUUCCUCUUCUUCCAUAUCGAAAGGAAAAAGAAAAAAAAAAAACAAAACAAAACACUUCAGAAGCAAAGUUUAUCCAUAUUUCAUAAGGAAGCCAGAAGCUCUCAAAAGCUGAGAAUUCUUUUAUUGUGUGGCAAUAGAGGUGAGCUCAUUUCAUGAAGAAGAAAUUUCCCUAUAGCAAUAGGUUUCAAAUUUUAAAACCUUGACCACUGUAAACAGUUACAAGACAGUAACAGGUGCAGUGGAAGAAACAUAAUAUAUAAAUCAAUGAAGAAUGGAGUAGUUUGUAAAUCUUCCCUGAAGGCAAAAAAAAUUUGACAGUAAAAAUGUUGAAAAUGAAGAACCAUAAUAUAUGUUAAAAAGAAGAUCAGACACUCAACAAAAUGAAAAAGACAAGCAAAGGCUAAGCCUUAGAAGAACUCUCCCGUUUUAUACAAAGAACCCAAACUUCUGUAAAUACUUAGAUUUCUUAAGCUGAUAGGUACACGAACACUCCUCUUUCUAUAAAAACUCAAAAUUAAUAGCCUAUGGACAACAAACACAAAAUUAAAAUAUAUCUUCUACAGACUUUUAUUUCUGGUGUAUAGGUCUAACAAGUGCAUUAAAUUCACAGAAUCCCAAGUGAUCCCUUCCUCUUGUCUCUCUCUCCACACCUUCAUCUGGGAACUAAUUUACCAUAUAUACUAGUUUCUAGUACCAGUUUUCCCGAUUUCAUGUUUAUUUCCUUCUUCUCACUCCCACAGUAUCAUUUUCAAAAUUUCCUAGUUACAGUCACAGUGGCACUAUAAUGUUGCAUUGUGUCAGAUAAGAGUAACUGCUUACUCCAAAGCCUUCUCUAUAAGACACUGCCAAAAUGGCAUUUAAUACAGCAAUACAUAAUGAAGCCAUAUGUGUUCCAAUAAUGCCACUCUGUUGCCAGAAUUAUCAUUGGCUCUUCUGAACGUUAUUCUAUAUACCUUAAAAAUUAACCCAUUACCGUGGACAAAAAAAGUAAAGUAAGUAAAAAGGACACAUGCAUAAAUCAUCUUUUCUAUUCCUUCAAAAAUAGAAGUCUGUUUCCUUAUCAGUAAGUGAGGUAAGCUUUGAUAAUUUCUAAGAAUCCUACUUAGGCUACCCUCUUCCUCAUUCCCCUGAAAAAACAUUUCUUCUAUGUUUCUAAAGCAAAGUAGAGCUAAUCUGAAAGCAUGUCCUAAAAAAGGUACGACCAUCACUUAGAUGAAAUCUACACAUUUAUUCAUGGACAAGUGAUUCAAUCUUAAGGCUUCACCAGAGUUUAAUUUUAGUUAUAAUAAUGUGUUCUUCUUCCUAAAACAUAAUGCUUUUGAUUUUUCAAUAAAACAUACAUAGAUUCUGCUAGA